rnacentral:rRNA from 1 species
UACGUGAAACCGUUCAGGGGUAAACCUAAGAAACCCAAAAGAUCGAACGGGGAGAUUCAUCGUCAGCGGCGCUGGCUUCGCGYCKKUGGGCGAUGUCCCGCGGAGUCCUCGCGGCUCGCGCGCGGGCACGCUACCGUGCGUCGAUGUCCGGCGCUCGUCGUCGUGCACUUCUCCCCAAGUAGAACGUCGCGACCCGCUGGGUGUCGGUCUACGGCCCGGGUGCGGUGACUGUCGCGUCGCCGGUAAAACGGCACGCGACAAACCCCCGGUCGCCCGGCCGGCUGCUCGGCGGUACGCGCAUGGUAUCAGGCCGCACUAUUUUACGGUGCGUCGAGGCCGUCGCAAGCGCGCGCCACGGUACUCGGAGGUUACGGACUUUGCGCCGUCCCCGGUCCUGGUCCGCUGUUGGUUAAAGUACGGUUCACCUUCGACAGGCCUGCGAACGUCUCUCCCCGGAGAGACCGAUACCGGUCGGCGACGCUACUGCUUUGGGUACUCUUAGGACCCGUCUUGAAACACGGACCAAGGAGUCUAACAUGUACGCGAGUCAUUGGGACUUGUCGCGAGACCUAAAGGCGUAAUGAAAGUGAAGGUCGGCCCUGGCCGUCGACCGAGGGAGGAUGGGCCGCGUCGCGAUGCGGCCUCGCACUCCCGGGGCGUCUCGUUCUCAUCGCGAGAAGAGGCGCACCCAGAGCGUACACGUUGGGACCCGAAAGAUGGUGAACUAUGCCUGGUCAGGACGAAGUCAGGGGAAACCCUGAUGGAGGUCCGUAGCGAUUCUGACGUGCAAAUCGAUCGUCGGAACUGGGUAUAGGGGCGAAAGACUAAUCGAACCAUC